rnacentral:rRNA from 1 species
CCUACGGGGGGCUGCAGUGGGGAAUAUUGGACAAUGGGGGGAACCCUGAUCCAGCCAUGCCGCGUGUGUGAAGAAGGCCCUCGGGUUGUAAAGCACUUUCAGUGAGGAAGAACGCCUGGUGGUUAAUACCCAUCAGGAAAGACAUCACUCACAGAAGAAGCACCGGCUAACUCCGUGCCAGCAGCCGCGGUAAUACGGAGGGUGCGAGCGUUAAUCGGAAUUACUGGGCGUAAAGCGCGCGUAGGUGGCUUGAUAAGCCGGUUGUGAAAGCCCCGGGCUCAACCUGGGAACGGCAUCCGGAACUGUCAAGCUAGAGUGCAGGAGAGGAAGGUAGAAUUCCCGGUGUAGCGGUGAAAUGCGUAGAGUUCGGGAGGAAUACCAGUGGCGAAGGCGGCCUUCGGGACUGACACUGACACUGAGGUGCGAAAGCGUGGGUAGCAAACAGGAUAAGAUACCCUUGUAGUC